UUCAUGGCAAAAGGGGAAAUGAAAAUAGAAUUGGCUUGAGGACUAAGUUUGGACUGUUGAAGUAAUUUUAUGAUGUUGUUAUACUGCUCCUGAGUGAAUCCAAAAGAAGAUGUUGUUGAGCCUUGUGGAGAAGUAUCAGAUGCAGUGUUAACUGCAACAGCGGAUUGAACACUAAUGCCUGCACUCUGAAAUUUACUCUUCCCUUUAAAUCCA
rnacentral:lncRNA from 1 species